UACACUACCUCCAACCGUUCGUGCACCU
rnacentral:sRNA from 1 species